AGGGCAGCUAGCCAGUGAUGGCAUGCGAAUCUCGAAAGCCAUCUCAGUUCGGAUUGGAGGCUGAAACCCGCCUCCAUGAAGUUGGAUUCGCUAGUAAUCGCGCAUCAGCCAUGGCGCGGUGAAUACGUUCCCGGGCCUUGUACACACCGCCCGUCAAGCCAUGGGAGCCGGGGGUGCCUGAAGUUCGUUACCGCAAGGAUCGACCUAGGGCAAAACUGGUGACUGGGGCUAAGUCGUAACAAGGUACC
rnacentral:rRNA from 1 species